CCUACGGGGUGCAGCAGUGAGGAAUAUUGGUCAAUGGGCUUACGCCUGAACCAGCCAAGUCGCGUGAGGGAAGACUGCCCUAUGGGUUGUAAACCUCUUUUGUCAGGGAGCAACGCCGUCUACGUGUAGCCUGCCUGAUAGUACCUGAAGACAAAGCCUCGUCUAACUCCGUGCCAGCAGCCGCGGUAAUACGGAGGAUGCGAGCGUUAUCCGGAUUUAUUGGGUUUAAGGGGUGCGUAGGCGGAAUGCCAAGUCAGCGGUAAAAUCGCGGGGCUCAACCUCGCUCCGCCGUUGAAACUGGCGUGCUUGAGGGGGCGAGAGGGAUGCGGAAUGCGUGGUGUAGCGGUGAAAUGCAUAGAUAUCAGGAGGAACAUCGGUGGCGUAAGCGCUUUACUGGGCCGUAAUUGACGCUGAGGAACGAAAGCCAGGGUAGCAAAUGGGAUUAGAUACCCUGGUAGUC
rnacentral:rRNA from 1 species